CUAAAUAUAGAUAUUGAUGAAAAUAAAAAAUCAGGAUAUUAUCAAAUGGUCAGAAAAGAUGAAGGUGAAUGCCCAAAAGGAUUCAAAGAAUUAUUGCCAAUUCCAUUAGGACCAUGAGCAUAAUACCGAGGACCAUCUCCAAUGAAAAAGGAGAUAGAAGCCCUAAUCAAGCGAGCUUUCUCGGAGCCUAUGUUCACUACCCACAAGACAAAGAGGCCCCA
rnacentral:lncRNA from 1 species